rnacentral:rRNA from 1 species
GACAGAGGAUGCAAGCGUUAUCCGGAAUGAUUGGGCGUAAAGCGUCUGUAGGUGGCUUUUCAAGUCCGCCGUCAAAUCCCAGGGCUCAACCCUGGACAGGCGGUGGAAACUACCAAGCUGGAGUACGGUAGGGGCAGAGGGAAUUUCCGGUGGAGCGGUGAAAUGCGUAGAUAUCGAGAGGAACACCUGCGGCGAAGGCGGGUUGCUGGGCUGACACGUGACGCUGAGGCGCGAAAGCUAGGGGAGCGAACCGG